GGGCGGGUAGCCUCAAACGGUAGAGGCACUGGUGUGACAGCCUGGGUUGCGAGUUCGAGUCUCGUCCCGUCCACCA
rnacentral:tRNA from 1 species